ensembl:lncRNA
GCAACCUACACCACAGCUCACGGCAACGCCAGAUCCUUAACCCACUGAGCAAGGGCAGGGACCGAACCUGCAACCUCAUGGUUCCUAGUCGGAUUCGUUAACCACUGCGCCACGACGGGAACUCCAAACACAUGGUCUUCUGUGCUGCAUAAUAAAUGAUCACAAACCUAGCAUUCAAAUCAACCCUUAUUUAUUUAUUUGGCUGCACCUACGGUAUGCAGAAGUUCCUGGGCCAGGGAUAGAACCCAUGGCACAGCUGCAAUCCAAGCUACUGCAGCAACAACGCUGGACCCUUAACCCUCUGCUCCACCAAGGGAAUUCCACACACAUAUUAUCUCACAAUGUAUGUGGGUCAGGACUCCAGGCAUACCUCAGCUGGGUUCUCGGCAAGGCUGUAUCAAAGUGUCAUUUGUGUUCUUAUUUGGAGGACUGACUGUAAGGUCCACUUACACACUAAGGAUGUCAGUAGAAUUCAAUUCUUUGUGGCUAUAGGACUGAACUUCUUGCUGGUUGUUGGCUGGAGGUUGCCCUCAGCUCCCUGUUACACGGAACUCAACAUGGCUGCUUGCUUCUUCAAGGCCAGCACUGAAGGGAACUUGCUUAGCCCAAUAAAGAGCAUUUAUGAAAAACCUAUAAAUAACAUCUUAAUGGUGAAAGAAUGACUGCCUUCCUCCAAGAUUGGGAGCAAGGAGUUCCCUGGCGGCUCAGCAGAAGGUAAGUAUGUCUCUGUUCUCACCAUUUCUGUUCAACAUUGUACUAGAGAUGAUAGCUAGUGCAAUUAGGGGGAAAAAAAAGACAUCUGCAUUGGAAAAGAAGAAAUAAAGCUGUCUUGGGGUUCCCGUGGUGCA